GUAAUUAGCUGGCAAAGGAGCUACCAUGAUCAUGAAGGUGGCUCUCCUAGGAUGAAGCUCAUCCAUUGCAAUUCAGGUAUGCUGAUUCCUGCAGUUUCCUUAAAUUCAGGGGUCUUGAAAACAGUUUGUGGGGGGAGGAUACAUUCAUGUUUCCCCAG
rnacentral:snRNA from 1 species